CGUCACUUCCGCCGACUAUUGUAAAGAACUGAGGGAGUUGCUGCUGCUGUACAUAUGGAGCGCACUUGCGUUCCAGCGUCUCUAACAUCAAGUAAAUAAUGAUAUAGGCUGGACAGUCAACAGCUUCUCAUUUAUCUUACAUAUAAUUUACAGAAUAAUUACCAUAAGCAUGUCAGGAACUUCCUCAUCUCUACUAGUUAGCAUUACAAAAUAAAAAUAAAAAAUUAUAUAAAAAACCAAAAAAGAAAAAUUUUUUUUUUACAAAAAAAUACUAAUAAAGAAUAUACCAAAAUACACAAAUAAUAAUACAUUUUAAUACAACAUGCAAUCGGAUAAGUGGAGAGCCAGACAAAAUUUGAACAUAAUCCAUAAUGUGCCAUAAUGUCCAUAGUGUGUCUAGUGGAAUGCGGUCCUUGUCAUCAUAUUAGCCUCACAUUCUCAUCAACCCUAUGAUGAAAAAAUCAACAUUAUUUCAAUUUCGUGGCAAAAGUAAUUCUAAGAGCAAGUGAAGCAAUCAUACCUACCCAGGAUUCACGAGACAGAAGCCUUUUUUAGUGAGAGGCACCAAAACAUAUACAAGAAAAAAACCAGAAGAGGCCUCUCAAAAGGCAAGAGAAAGCAAUCACAUCCCCCAGGACAAUACUCUUCCAACUCCAAAAAGUCCGGUCAAGACUCGGAGCAAAAGGGACAGAUAGUCUUUAACUUGUCCUCCAUACCUCUUACUGAUUUGCAGGUAUGUACUUUGAGUAAAGGAUUAAGUUUUGUUCCCACCACUAAUUUUAAUCCUUUUGAUUUUGAGGUUGAAUUGUUUAAAUUUUGUCGUACAUUGCACUUAAAUUCUUUUUUUGCCUUCAAGUUUGAAGAGGGACAGACGUGUUCAGAGGCUGAGCAACCAACACCUAUCAUGUCACAACAAUUACGUUUAAAAUCCACCUUUAUGCCACCGACACAAAACAAAUCUGGUACAGAAUUGGAAUUGACUCAUUUUAUCAAUUCUCUCAAUAAUAUUCCUUCUACUAUCCGUUUCACUGCAUCAUGGAGUAUGACUUCUAUUUCCUUUUUGGAUGUAAUGAUAGAAUAUCAGGCAGAUGACAAGAGUAAAACGUAUCACAUCAGAGACACAGGAUUUAGAUGAUUCAUUACAGACUAUGGCUAACAGGUUUCGUGAACGGGGUUAUGGAGAGGAAAUAGUAUCACAGGCUAUUGAUAAGGGUUGAUGAGAAUGUGAGGCUAAUAUGAUGACAAGGACCGCAUUCCACUAGACACACUAUGGACAUUAUGGCACAUUAUGGAUUAUGUUCAAAUUUUGUCUGGCUCUCCACUUUUCCGAUUGCAUGUUGUAUUAAAAUGUAUUAUUAUUUGUGUAUUUUGGUAUAUUCUUUAUUAGUAUUUUUUUGUAAAAAAAAUUUUUUUCUUUUUUGGUUUUUUAUAUAAUUUUUUAUUUUUAUUUUGUAAUGCUAACUCGUAGAGAUGAGGAAGUUCCUGACAUGCUUAUGGUAAUUAUUCUGUAAAUUAUAUGUAAGAUAAAUGAGAAGCUGUUGACUGUCCAGCCUAUAUCAUUAUUUACUUGAUGUUAGAGACGCUGGAACGCAAGUGCGCUCCAUAUGUACAGCAGCAGCAACUCCCUCAGUUCUUUACAAUAGUCGGCGGAAGUGACGUCUACAAUAUGCGACGUUGAAACGCAUUUGCGUUCCAUGUGGAUCGCAAUGCACCUUUUUAUGAUACACGCUUCUGCUUUAGAGCGGAUGUGACGUCACACGCCACUUCACAUGUGCAGGGUGAUUAUGGAGACUUUACAAAGGUAUUUAAACUUGUUUAAUGUAUGCAUUCGUUCUGCCUUUUAUCCUUUUCUAACACUUUAUGGAUUUUGCCCCUGAUGAAGACCACUUCUGUGGUCGAAACGCGUAGGGCCAUUACUGGGCCGUAGCCAAAUAUGUGAGUGUAUUUUUGUAAAUGUAAUAAAUUUUUGCCUUUUAAAUUGGAGUGUGCUGUCCCUAUAUUUAACUUUUGUUCAAGUAUUUUCUACAGACAGCUGUGCCC